GAGAAACAAAUCAUAAUAUUACGUUGGAAUGUGAUCCACUUACAUUGUAUUUACCGAAUGUUUACAAAUUACAGUUUGUGAUCCUGUGUGUGAAAACCAGGCCAAAUCUAAUUUUGAGAUAAAGUUUAACUGUAGUCAUUCAUUUCCCUUUGAUUUCAGUUGUUGACAUUGUUUUACUCAGUUAAUAUUAAAUACAUUAUUAUUAUUUUCACAGACUCUUCUUUAUGUCAAGUAGAAAACAGUCGAUUAGAAAAAAAUGACUCCAGCUAGAUUUUCACAGACUGGGUCACAUUUUUAGCAUUAUUAGGUAAUUAACCUAAAUAUUGUUGAUAAUGAUUACACUGUCAUCACCAUGUCUGCUUCGGGAGAGACUUGAGGUAUGAAGAACUGUCUGACUGCUUUGAUUUUUGCAAGCUCUGUCCCCCCACUGUCUGCAGUAUUUUUUCAGUCCCUUGCGUUUAAACUCUGAAACUGUAAGACAUGACUUGACAGACUCUGCUUAAAAGACCCGCCCUCCUCACUCCUUAAACUAACGAUGACAUCAAGUAUUACCCAAUCAAAAGUAGGAAAUGAGGGAUCUUCAUAAAACGCGUGUUGGAUGAUUUGCAUUAAAAAUAUA